ACGUAGGGUGCGAGCGUUAAUCGGAAUUACUGGGCGUAAAGCGUGCGCAGGCGGUUUUGCAAGCCGGAUGUGAAAUCCCCGGGCUCAACCUGGGAAUGGCAGUGGAUACUGGAAAGCUGGAGUGCGGUAGAGGGUAGUGGAAUUCCCGGUGUAGCAGUGAAAUGCGUAGAGAUCGGGAGGAACACCAGUGGCGAAGGCGGCUACCUGGACCAGCACUGACACUGAGGCACGAAAGCGUGGGGAGCAAACAGGA
rnacentral:rRNA from 1 species